ACAAAGCUACUUGGAAAGGAAGUUCUGAAUUUACAGGAUUAUUUUGAAACACCUAUCUCAUCAGGAAUUCUCAAUAUCAAGUCAUGUGAAGUCCUAAAAAUUUCGUCUUCCGUCUAUCAUCACAACUUAGAUGAAAUAUCAGAAAAAAUUAUAAAAUUUAGUAACUAAGAGUCUAACAUGAACUUGUUCAUUCUUUUCCUUCAUUAUUUUUUUUUUUGAUAUUUAAAUAUUUGUAAGCAUUAAGAACAUAUAAACGUACAUAAAUUAUUCGGACAGAAAAUGGAUUUUAACCACAUCAUAGAAGAAGCAUAAGAAAAUACUCCUGUAACUAAAAAAGAUAUUGAUUUGCUUGAGAAAAGGAUAUUGGACCGUAUAAAACAGUCGGAAAAUAAAAUACUGAAAGAAAUAGACCACAAUCAAAAAUCCGUAAAGAGGGCCCUGACACGAAUUUUGCAAGAAACAAAAGCA